UGAGUACGAGAUGCUACGGCAUCGAAGCAGUCUAUGUCAUACUUCCAAGAAAAGCUUGCAAUGUCAUAAACAAAUAAUGCCUGUACCAUAACCGACACAGGUGGGUAGGUAGAGUAUACUAAGGGGCGCGAGAUAACUCUCUCUAAGGAACUCGGCAAAAUGACUCCGUAACUUCGGGAGAAGGAGUGCCUUAUUUUUAUAAGGUUGCAAUAACAAGAUCCAAGCAACUGUUUACCAAAAACACAGGUCUCCGCUAAGUCGUAAGACGAUGUAUGGGGGCUGACGCCUGCCCAGUGCCAGAAGGUUAAAGAAGUUGGUUAGCAUUAGCGAAGCUGAUAACUGAAGCCCUGGUGAACGGCGGCCGUAACAAUAACGGUCCUAAGGUAGCGAAAUUCCUUGUCGGGUAAGUUCCGACCCGCACGAAAGGCGUAAUGAUUUGGAUACUGUCUCGGAGAGGGGCUCGGUGAAAUAGACUUGUCUGUGAAGAUGCGGACUACCUGCACCUGGACAGAAAGACCCUAUCAAGCUUUACUGUAACUUGAGAUUGAAAUUGGACUUUAUCUGCGCAGUAUAGGUGGGAGACGUUGAAAAUAUUCUUGCGGGAAUAUUGGAGUCAUCAGUGAGAUACCACUCUUAUAAUGUUAGAUUUCUAACUUUGUAUCAUUAUCUGGUCAAAGAACAGUUUCAGGCGGGCAGUUUGACUGGGGCGGUCGCCUCCCAAACGGUAACGGAGGCGCACAAAGGUUUCCUCUGAACGUGUAGAAAUCGUAUCUAGAGUGUAAAGGCAUAAGGAAGCUUGACUGUGAGACCUACAAGUCGAGCAGGGACGAAAGUCGGUCUUAGUGAUCUGACGGUGCUGAGUGGAAAGGCCGUCACUCAACGGAUAAAAGUUACUCUAAGGAUAACAGGCUGAUCUCCCCCAAGAGUUCACAUCGACGGGGAGGUUUGGCACCUCGAUGUCGGCUCAUCGCAUCCUGGGGCGGUAGUACGUCCCAAGGGUUGGGCUGUUCGCCCAUGAAAGCGGUACGCGAGCUGGGUUCAGAACGUCGUGAGACAGUUCGGUCCAUAUCCGGUGUAGGCGUUAGAAUAUUGAGAGGAGCCUUCUUUAGUACGAGAGGACCGAGAAGGACAUACCUCUGGUGUACCAGUUAUCGUGCCAACGGUAAACGCUGGGUAGCCAUGUAUGGAGAGGAUAACCGCU
rnacentral:rRNA from 1 species